AUGGAGUUCAUCCGACAAGUCCUGGAUCCCCACAGCCUUCCCUCCAUCUGGCGCAUGCGCUGUUUCCCCCUUGGCAACAGAUUGGCACUGCGAUCUCUUAAGCAAUUUCAGAUAACUUUUCUUGCAAAAACCACAAAAAGCCAAACAUACAGAAAAACUGACAAGAUGCGAAGCAAUGGGAAACUAAUUCAUCUCUGUCAAGGGGAAAGACCAGUGUUAGAAAGAAGUGGGCAGAACAAGAUGAAGGAGGGAAGACGUCUGAGAGCUCAAAACACAGCAGCGAAUGGACAAAAGGCAGGGGGUACACAGAGCUGCAAAUACAGUGUGUAUCCUUGACCCCACUCUGACGUAGGAGGUAGAUGCGCCCCCGGGCUGAGAACAGUGGGGGC
ensembl:lncRNA